rnacentral:rRNA from 1 species
CCUACGGGAGGCAGCAGUGGGGAAUAUUGCGCAAUGGGCGAAAGCCUGACGCAGCGACGCCGCGUGAGGGAUGAAGGUCUUCGGAUCGUAAACCUCUGUCAACAGGGAAGAACGGUCACUGUGCUAAUCAGCAGUGAAUUGACGGUACCUGCAAAAGAAGCACCCGCUAACUCGGUGCCAGCAGCCGCGGUAAUACGGAGGGUGCGAGCUUUAAUCGGAAUUACUGGGCGUAAAGCGCUCGUAGGCGGUAUGUCAAGUCAAGGGUGAACUCCCCGGGCUAAACGUGGGAACUGCCUUUGAAACUGGCAAACUGGAGUGUGUGAGAGGAUAGUGGAAUGCCAGGUGUAGGAGUGAAAGCCGUAGAUAUCUGGAGGAACAUCAGUGGCGAAGGCGACUAUCUGGCACAUAACUGACGCUGAGGAGCGAAAGCGUGGGUAGCAAACAGGAUUAGAUACCCCUGUAGUC